UUGCGACCCCAGGUCAGGCGGGACUACCCGCUGAG
rnacentral:rRNA from 1 species